GCCAGGAUAGCUUAGUUGGUAGAGCAGAGGACUAAAAAUUCUCGUGUCACCAGUUCAAAUCUAGUUCCUGGCA
rfam:Capsicum annuum cultivar Zunla-1 chromosome 1, whole genome shotgun sequence